rnacentral:rRNA from 1 species
AUACGGAGGGGGUUAGCGUUGUUCGGAAUUACUGGGCGUAAAGCGCACGUAGGCGGAUUAAAAAGUUAGAGGUGAAAUCCCAGGGCUCAACCCUGGAACUGCCUUUAAAACUAGUAGUCUAGAGUUCGAGAGAGGUGAGUGGAAUUCCAAGUGUAGAGGUGAAAUUCGUAGAUAUUUGGAGGAACACCAGUGGCGAAGGCGGCUCACUGGCUCGAUACUGACGCUGAGGUGCGAAAGCGUGGGGAGCAAACAGGAUUAGAAACCCCAGUAGUCC